UACAGAGGGGGCAAGCGUUGUUCGGAAUUACUGGGCGUAAAGGGCGCGUAGGCGGUUUGUCGCGUCUGCCGUGAAAGUCCGGGGCUCAACUCCGGAUCUGCGGUGGGUACGGGCAGACUAGAGUGAUGUAGGGGAGACUGGAAUUCCUGGUGUAGCGGUGGAAUGCGCAGAUAUCAGGAGGAACACCAAUGGCGAAGGCAGAUCUCUGGGCCGUAACUGACGCUGAGGAGCGAAAGCAUGGGGAGCGAACAGG
rnacentral:rRNA from 1 species